rnacentral:rRNA from 1 species
GUCCACGCCCUAAACGAUGUCUACUAGUUGUCGGGUCUUAAUUGACUUGGUAACGCAGCUAACGCGUGAAGUAGACCGCCUGGGGAGUACGGUCGCAAGAUUAAAACUCAAAGGAAUUGACGGGGACCCGCACAAGCGGUGGAUGAUGUGGAUUAAUUCGAUGCAACGCGAAAAACCUUACCUACCCUUGACAUGGAAGGAAUCCCCGAGAGAUUGGGGAGUGCCCGAAAGGGAACCUUCACACAGGUGCUGCAUGGCUGUCGU